GGGGCUGUGGCGCAGGCUGGUAGCGCACUUGCAUGGCAUGCAAGGGGUCAGGGGUUCGAAUCCCCUCAGGCUCC
rnacentral:tRNA from 1 species